UACGGGGGGAGCAAGCGUUGUUCGGAUUUACUGGGCGUAAAGGGCGCGUAGGCGGCCUCUGCAAGUCGACUGUGAAAUCUCCGGGCUUAACCCGGAAAGGUCAGCCGAUACUGCAGGGCUAGAGUGCAGAAGGGGCAACUGGAAUUCUCGGUGUAGCGGUGAAAUGCGUAGAUAUCUGGAGGAACACCGGUGGCGAAGGCGGCAUCCUGGACCAACACUGACGCUGAUGAGCGAAAGCCAGGGGAGCAAACGGG
rnacentral:rRNA from 1 species